rnacentral:lncRNA from 1 species
CUCUUUAAAUAGUCUACAUGACAAUUUUGACAAAAUUAAUAUCGGCACCCUAAAGUUGCUCUGAGCAAUUGUCUCCUUAAUUAGCUUGUCCUCUUGUCCUUGUUCUGGCUCUGAACCUCUUUAGGUGAACUGGCCUCCUCUACACCGCUGUGAUCUCCUUGUCCUCCUCCCUUAUUGUAAUUUGUAUGAACAAUUCUAGUUACAAUUCUUAUGUCUUUAAAAUUUAACUUUUAGCUUAUUAUGUUUUAAUUUAACAAAUGUAUUAUUAGUGAAAUCUUAAAAAAAUAAAAACUUUUAAAAUUAAUUUAAUAGAGUUAGUAUGUAUAAUCAAUCGAUGCAUCGCAUGAGUGAAACAAUUAAUUAAAAUAAGCAUUACAAUUUAUAACUUCUCAAAAGUUAAAAAUAUUAUUAAAAAAUAAUUUAACUAAUAAUAAAAUUAAUACUUAAAAAUAUAAUUAAAAUAAAAUAUAAAGAUGAAUUGAAAAAUUAAAAUAAUAAAAGUAACUUUUUAAAUGACUCAAAUUAUAAAAUGGAAUGAAACUAGAAAUAUUUUAUUAUUUCUUAGCUAUCAUUUACUCUUUUUUUCUAUAACAUAAAAUUAGUAUUUGAAAUUCUCAUGUAUAACUAAUAAUUAAAAGAACUUUUCAAUAUAUAUAUAAAAAAACCCUUUUCAAAAGUAAUUUAGAAACAAAAUUAGUGUUAUAUGCCACCUAAAAAAAGGAUUAGCUUCUUUUAAGAUUAUUUAGAUAAAUAGACCAUUUUUCUGACCAGGUAACUAAUGAGGCAUAGGAUGUCUUGUUUGAAAAACGCUUUAUAUAAAAUGUGCUUUUUUUUCAUCCAUGCGGCUUAGGUUCGAAUCUUUUCUUAAGCUUAUUAAAUGAUCUUUUUAAUUCAUGUUACUUACGUACUUUUAACAUUUUUUGUUUUUACUCAAACCAUCAAUCUUUUUACUCAGCGCUUCCACUUGACUUUCCAACUUAGCAAUCACAUCUAUAUUAAAAACAUUGGCUGCCUUAGUAGGCUUUGUUCUCAUAACUUGCCAUUAAUAGUUAUUCAGUGUUAUCUCCUCAAUAAAUUCUUGGGUUGCCUCAGGUGUCUUAUUAUUCAAUUUUUCGACAACUACUGCAUCAAUUAUCUGCCUAGUCGAUGGAUUCAAACUGUUGUAAAAGGUUUGAACUUGUAACCACAAAGGUAACCCAUGAUGAGGGCAUCUUCACAGAAGAUCCUUAAAUCUCUCCCAUGCAUCAUACACUGUCUCAAGUUCAAAUUGAGCAAAAGAAGAGAUGUCAUUCCUCAAUUUAGCUGUUUUGGCUGGUGGAAAAUACUUCAAUAAAAACUUUUCAAUCAUCUGAGCCUAAGUGGUGAUGGAACCUCAUGAAAGUGAAUUCAACCACUGUUUUGCCUUGUUCCUCACUUGUUCCUCAAAGAAAAUGGGAACAAUCACAAGCGUUUGGCAUCAUCAGUAACACUAUUGAUCUUAAAUGUGUCGCAGAUAUCUAGAAAGUUAGUUGAUCAUGUUCCCAUGUGCAAAUAAAAUAAACAAUUUUAUAAAAUAAUUUUAUAAGCACUGCUUUACAGCAAGCGUGCACGCCAAUUGUAAUAUUUAUAGUGUUAUGAUAGAACAACAGAGUAUUCCAAAGAUCGACCCUAAAAAAGAUGGCGAUUGAGUGUAAAUAUUAUGCACAAUAGAGUCUAAGCAGCUACUGAUAUAAUUUAUAGUACGACAAAUCAUGAAAAGAAAAAUAUUGCAAGAAAAUUGAAGACGCUAAUCUAAGGACUAAAUUGUAAAGAAUUUAACCAAAUGAAUGACGAACAGUGGUUGGUUGAUUUCAAUAUAGUUCACUCUUGGACAAGGGAUUUAAAUUAUUUAAAUUACUAAGUGGCUCUAUUUUAUCUUUCGAUCUCAAUUUUACUGACUUAGACGAAUUUGUUUCGAUUUAUCAUUUGGUGUCAUCGGUUAAUCUGAGACUAAUAAACGAGAGCGUAACAGGAUUACCUUCCGGUCUCACUUGCCUAGAUACUUCCUUAAGGGCGUCGCUUCCUAAGUUUUUAAAUCUAUUCAAUUUAGUCUAAUUUUUACGAUUUGGUACUUUGUCCAAAAAUUUCAACUUACGCACAUCUCCAUCAACCAACCCCUUUUUCGAUUUAGCUACUUAUGCUUAAAGUUAAGAGAAUGAACAUGAAAAUGAAAAAAAAUUCAUUAAAGUAAAGCUUAAUAAAAAAAUAAAAGUUAGGAGUUUUAUGCAAGACAACUUAAAGAACAUGGAACGAAAAACAUUUGAUAAGAAAAUCUAAAGCAAUAAACAUGAAAUGCACUAACUUCAACAGAUUUAAAGUAAAAGAAACUGAAAUACAUUAAACUAAAUCUAAAAGUGUCUUACAACCAAGGUAUAGAGAUUGAAAGUGUAAAUAAACCUAAGCCUGGGGUGAUUGGUGGACCAGGUGAACACUAAGAAAAUCUAGAAGAAGAAGUAAAUGCAGAAAAAUAAACUCUAAAAUAAGGAAGAAAAUGAGAAAAUGAAAAACCCUAGAAGAAGUGAAGAAAACUAAGGGAAAACCUAGAGAAAACUAAACCUAAAACAAGGCUAAUGUGUGUCUCUCUCCUCUUCAGCCAAUUUUGGCUAUUUUAGGUUGUCUUCUCAUGAGUUUUCAUUGCCAAAAAUGCCCCUACACAAGCCUGGGGUGAUUGGUGGACCAGGUGAACAAAGACUACCCUUUUUUGUCCAAGUUUGUCCCCUUGAUGAUGUCAAUGUCGUGAUACCUAAAAGAGGAUAUUGCGAUAUCUAGGACAGUGUCGAGCCUUCGGGUCUUCUUUGAAGGGUGGAUAUCGCGAUUCCCAAAGAUGAUAUCGUGAUACAACCGAAGGGUGUCUCCAUUCUUCAAUACUGUUGGAGGUAUUAUGAUUCCAAGGUCUGGAUACCGCUAUACCCUUUUCCUUGGUGCCAUUCUCGCUCUUUUUCAACCUCCAACACUUAGGCCACUCAAUCACACUUUAGCCCCCUCAAUGGAACUAUUGGCCAAAUUGGGUUACAAAAUGAGCAAAAAUGAGACAUUUUCACUUAUUAACUUAAAAUCUAUAAAUAACGAAAAACUAUGCAAAAGACGUUAUUUUGCUCGAGAAUAAGCUCAUUAAGUAUACCGAGAAAGCCUAAUUUGCUACAUCAAUUUGUGGCAGAUCAACUCCACCACACUUAACUCUUUUGCUUGCCCUCAAGGAAACACACUAAACAAGUAAAAGAAAAGACGACUCUUAAACUAAAUGAGGCAAUUAAGUUACAUAGCUGUAAAACAUCAAACUUGUACAAGAAUAACUUCAUAUGCAACUUAAGAUUGAUAGCUAGCUAACUUAUUUAUUCCUAAUGAAAAUAUAAUUAGUUCAUUAAGGUAAAAUGUUAAUAGAUGUAGAGGCAAUAUAAAUGAACUUAUUUACAAGUGUUAUCCAUCAAAAUAAAUUAUGCGAAUCGCUCAUAAAUAUUUUUAAAAAAUUGGUUAUGUUCGUUUGAACAAAUGCAAGCUAUAUACAAAUUAAUGUGUUGGUGACUUAUUCGGGUCCCAAAGGUCUUCUAGGCUUGUAAUAUUUUGAGGCUUGGGACAGUUCAGGAUUCAAACAACAGAUACCCAAAAUGGGUUCAAGCACUAGAAACGAUUAAGCACACGACAUUGUUACCUACUCGUCCCUGAUUUAUUUAUAAACUCACCUCCUCAUUUCUCCUUCUCUUGCCUAUCUUAUUUCUCCAAAAUGUUAGAAGGAAUUACGCGAGAUUAGUACAUACAAAAUUUAUAAUUAUGGAUCGAAAUGUUUUCAUUUAUUUGAGCUUAAUUUUGAUUUGGCUCUCUUUUUUUUCUUUGUCUUUCACUCUUUCAUUUACUUUUUUUAACAUACUAAUUCAUGUAAUCCCUUCAUUUUUUUUUGCACACAAAGCCACCAUAAUAUUUCUACCUAUCCCUCAAUGUCUAUGGCCUGAUGUCCAUUACAUAGUGCAUUUAGAGAACAUGAUAGAGAAGGAUUGAGUGCCAGACUCAUUUAGGCUCGAGGCUUUAAUAUCAAGGCUUACAAGAAAAUGAUACUCGAGGCUCAAAGAUAUAGGAACUAGGGGUACAUAGCAAUAGGUAAGCUUUUAGGCUCUAGGCUAUAUAAAACAAUGCCUAAGGUGUCUCUUGAAUUAAUCACCUAACACUAGUUCCUUUUAAGCAUACAUCUACUUAAACGAACAAUUAGCAAUUCACAUUAUUUAUCUACAAGGAUCUGUAUAUUUUACUCAUCCUAUGGUAUACUUUAUACAUUUUCAUUUCGGUUAUUGCCUCUAGUCUAUUAUACACAUUAACUAAUUGAACUAAUUAAUCUACAAUCAAGAAUAAUAGAUUAUUUGGUAUCAUUCAAAAUUUACAAGUUUGGCAAUUCCAUGUACUUAUUUGAUAUAUACUAUUAGUAACUUAUCACCUAAUUAUAGUCCAAGCACCAUGCAAUUACACAAAAUAAAAAAUAAAAUAUAUUUUUAGGAUUUUUGAAAAAUUUAAAACAAAAACGAAAAAUAUUUUUGGAUAUUUUUUUAUUUUUUUUGAAAACGAAAAAAAAGUUAAAAUAAACACGCUAACAAACAUAAAGGCAUGAAAAAUAAAACACAUAAUAUUAUGUGCACCCCCACACUUAGACUACACAUUGUCACCAAUGUGUCCCCAAGAAAAGAUAGGAGGUUACCAAACUUCCUUUGAAUGGAGCAUCAGACUAGCUCGGGGGUCCACCUCCUCGUUGAAGCUCAAAAUGUUGUGUAGUCUUUCAGGCUAAUUUGCUACACACAAUAUAAACAAACAAAGAAAAGCAAAAACAACCAAACAUACUACUAAAAAUAAAAAUAACAAGAAACAAAUCCAAAAGUGUUUAAUAGUUUACAUAACAUAUAUAUAUAAUAUGAUAAUAAAUGCAAAAACAUCUAACUAAUCGAAGUCACCCUUGGGACUUUCGGUUGAUCCCACAAUUUCUUUGCCUUUGCCCCUCUCGGUCGGCCUUGUAAAAGACAUCACAGGUUAGUUACUUUGCUCACGGAUGAUGGGUCCCCCCCGGGUUGCUGUGUAGAAGCAAAAGCUCCCUCGAAGUAGUCGCGAUAGGAUUCAAAAUCAUCAUCCUUCAUUGCCUCGUCAUCCUCCUCUUAUUUGAUUUCCUAUUCUUGUUCCUCCCCCACUGUAUUGCCCUUUGAUGAAUCGCAUUAUCGUUUGGGCCAUUGUAAGCUCUGCGCCCCCUGACUUGUCACAAAAGUGUCCAUGAAUAGUUUCAUGGACUCCAUUAGUAUCAUAUUAUAGCACACAUCUUUUCGCAACCUACUUUCCGACUGCGUAGGCUCAUCAUUUGUCUUAUUUUUGGCGCUUCUCUUUUUCACCACUUGAGGUACUUCCAUUUUCUGUUUGCGUCGCUGAUUCUAUUCUUGUAUUUGCUUUCUGUGCAAUUCUUGGAACUGGUGGAGUAGGGUAUCUCCAAUAAUACUUAUAGUCAAAUGAUGAAAUUGUUUAGUGGUUCCCAUCACCACUACAGCUCGACGACAUAAGGUAGUGAUCAAAUGAGGAAAGUAAUUUUCAACUUUUAUGCCCAAUAUGCACUUUUUGAUCUCCUUGUUGAUCCACCUCCUAAGGCUAACUCUCUUUUGCUGCAAAAUACAGUAUAGCAAAGUAGCUUGAAAGACAUUAAUGGUAUUGUGUUAAGUAGUGGUGCGAUACAAGUACAUAUAAAUUGCAUCCACAUCUUAGCGAUGAGAAACGUGAUAGAUUGUUUAAAAGAUAGGGGGUAAUUAUUAUACCCCAUUCUUCCAUUCACCCUUACCCUCUGUUAAAAAUGUUAAAACAUUGUCCAUAUCAAAAUUAGUAACUUUCUUGAGGUCCAAGGUGGACAAAUAAUCAUUGUCACACCUCAUAUUUUUAUUUAUUAUUUCGUCAAAUUAUGAAGUAAAGAAGUAAGUAGUUAAGUGGUUAAGAGCCUAAUUUAAUUCCUAGAGAACCUAGGUUUAAUUCCCAUCAUCCACAUAUUUUUUUUCUAAAUUUUUUUGCAUCAAAAUAGAUGGUCAAACCCCUUUAACCAUCCAUACCACUUGCUUUAUAGGCAAAGAAUUUCGUAUCGUUUCUUUUUAGUCAACUUACCUUACAAAACCCCUUUUUCGCUCCCAUGAUCCAUUUUUUGUGCCUUUGUCCCACCUAUUGCCUUUUUAUCUCCCUUACUAUACCUUGGCCGGUCGUGCACCUAGACACCCCUAAAUUUUCAUUUUUUAAUUUUAUUCUCCUCAUCUCAUCUUUUUCUCUUUUCUCCUCCUCCUUCCACCACCUAUUUUUCUAUAUUUUGCCACCAUAAUACCCUUGUUGACCACCUUUUUUCAUCAAAUCACCACCACAACAUCACUUAAACUUCCCUUCCCUUCCACACCUCUUCUUCUUUCACCACCGUCAUACUGUCGCCGUACCUCCACCUCCGUAAACCAUCAUUCUUACUGAUUUUUAUCCUCUACUCAUUUCUUCUCUUAAAAUAAAACUUCUAAACCUCCUCUCUUAUUUUUCAAAAACCAUAUAUGAUCCUAAUACCUAUUCAUUUUAUUUUUGAAUGAUGAUUUCAUUAGAUAAUCUUCCAUUGUAAACGAAAUACUGUGGGAUUAGGGAUUUACCUUUUCCUUGGGAUUUUUCGUAAGUGAUCCUUAAACUUCGAUGAUAAUCUUUUCUUCUCCACUUAUUAAAGUCGAAUCUAAUGAUGUUUCUAUACACUAGUGAAGCGUUCUUCUUCGUACGCUCAGAUUCGUAUUCUUGCCUUAGGAGAAAGUAUUGUCGUUUGGAAGAUAGAUAAGUAAGUCUCCUGAAUUGAAUUUUGUAAUGAAACUUCAAUGGAUUGUUUUAGAUUUUUAACUUAUUAUUAAUUUAUUAAUAAAAGGAUUGAAGACCAGAUUUCUUCCCUUAGAGUUGGAAACAUAGUUGAUAUCAUUGGAAUUUGCAAAAUCAGGUGUGGGGAUUUAUCUUAUUAAAAUAUAUGAAAUUGUUGUUAAUAGUAAAAAUGUGAAAUAUUAAAUAUUUGUUUAAGAAAACUCUGAAAUGUGAAAAUGGGCAAAUACACUAAGUAUUCAAAUGGAUUGAUAAAAUUCGUUAAAAAAGAGGAUUCCAAGUAAGUGAUUCUGAACUUUCAGAUUUGUGAGAACAUGAAUGUGAUUGUGUGAUUUUCUGAUAAAUGUAAUAUUAUAUGAUUUCCUGACACUCAUGUAAUGUGACAUAUGGAAUUAUUUGAUAUGCAUGAAAAUGAACAUGCCACUGUUUCUAUUGUUAUUCUUAUUUGUAUGUUAAGCAUGCCACUGUGUUAAAUCGUAAUGGGAUUUGAUUCGCAUGGAAAGCUUGCCCACUUAAAAUACUAUUUUGUUUGUCAUAUCACUUGCAUGAGCUUGAGAUAUGAUUGUACGGAGGAUGAUUUUGGUAGUUUAAUAAUCUGUACAUUCUGGUGAUUUAACCAUGUUAUCUGGCAGUAUAUCUACAAAUCUUGUGGCUUGACUACAAUAUUCUGAUUUGGCAGUUUAAUUAUAUUUUGAUAAGUCAUCAUUGUCGGGCAACCCAGGAUGACUUCAUUGGUGCGUUAUUGGAUGGACGAGUUCUGGGGAACGUAUUAUGGUGUGUAGCGGAGAUAGGUAAGGAAUGUUUUUCUGAAAAUCUACACUAUUUUUGAAAAAGUGGGGCAUCGACAUCAAUGAUAUGCAUUUUGAUAAAUGUAGUUCGGUGAUUGUAUAUUUAUGUAUAUGUGAUCUGUAUACUGCUGAGAUUCUGUCAUAAUUUCUAUUAUUAUGCAAGUUGACCCACACUGGGAUUUUAAAGCUUACCUUAUAAGUUCAUGAUUUUUUAGAUAAUAAUCGAGGUUAGAACAUGGGCUUAGCUUAUAGAGGUGCUCUCGGAUAACUAUUUGAAUAAAUCGAUAAACUAUAUGUUUCGGUAUUUUAGGGUUGUAUGUUUAUUUUCUGUGGAUUGUGGCAUGGGACACUAUUUUUUAUUUUUGGAUGUUUUGCAUGAUUUGGUCUUUAAAACUAAAUUUUAAGACGAUUUAUAAAUAUGGAAAGAAAAAACUAGAUUUUUCAACCUAAUGACAAACUCAACUUAAUGAUUGUUAUUUCAAACUCAAGACUUCAAUUUUUGGAACUCAACACUAUCUGAUCAUUUAAUUGAGAUUUUACAAGAGAUGUCAGAUUUAUGAUUUCAAAUCGACAAGUGAGAUUUAAUUAUUUUUUGCUGCGACAUUUUCUUUGAAAUAUGAUGUUUUCUAUAAACAUUCAAAACUUGAGUUUUUAAAAAAAAAAAUUGAUUUUUUUUUACAAUUUCUUUCCAAAAGGAAAUUUAUAAGCACUACUUGGCUUUUCUUACACAAAUCAAAAUGACGAUUUUAAAUAAUGAUGAUUAUCAAGAGAAAAUAGUUAGAUGAUUUUGUGUGCCAUCAUCAUUGCCAAUGUGAUCUUUGAGAUUUGGCCAUAAUGUUUAGGCCGAGUAUAGGGGGUUAUAGUCACUAACAUUAUAUGGCACACCAUAAUACUCACUAAUUUCUUAAGGGGAGAUAUCGAAUUUCUUGUGCCGAACAUACACCUUGUUCUUUUUAGAAAAUUUUAAAUUGGAAUAAAACUCCAAAACUGCUUAGAUUAUCGCAUGUGUUGUUGGUACUAUAUCAAGGUUCAUCCAUCAAUGAAAAUGAACCAAAUCCCAAACAUUCUUGCAGCCUAAGGCUGAAGAGUCGAAGCCUAUUUCAAGGAUAAAAUUCCUUCAUUGAAUGUUUCAGAAAUAGGCUUUGGCCUCUUUCGAUUUAAACUUGUCUAGAACAUACUCUGGUUCCAGAAGUGGUUCAGGUUGGGAUUUCGUUCAUUUUUUCAUUCUAAGGGGCAUGUUUAUCAACAUUUUAACAAAUCUAACUAUCAAGUAUGUACUAAUAAACUAACCUGCAUCCAAUCAGCAUUAAAACCGAAAUGAUAUAGCAAAAAUAAAAAAAAUGCAAAAAUAGCAAAUGCAAACAAAAGGAAGAAAAAGGAAACUUGUAUGCGUUAGUUGUGAUGGAUUUGUUGUGUGAAGCAAAAAAUUUCCGUGUUUCCCAACCUAAAAGAGUAGAAUACCUGCAAAAGAAGAAAACUAACCAAAGAUAAAGCAAAAAGAAAGGAAAAAUUGUAAAGAGAAAUAGAGGAAAUUGAAGGAAAGAUUGAGAGAAAAUUGAGAGGGGGAGAGUUUUUAGGGAUUUAAGGUUGAGGAAUUGGGGGAUAGCGAAUCGCGAUGCCUGAAAUCGGGUAUCGCCUGACUCAACUUUGAUAUCACAAUACUCAGGUUUGGAUAUCGUGAUAUCCUCAAUUUUUGGACCUUUCACAUUUUAUUCUGUUUGAGGUGUCGUGGUAUUAAGGGUUGGGUAUCACGAUACCACUGUGUAAAACCAAAAUUUUAACUUUUGCAAUUUCAGGGGUAUCGCAAUAUCAAGGAUCCGAUAUCAUGAUACCAAAAAGAUUUUUGGUCCCCUCUUGAAACUAUUCUAGAAAUCGUGAUAUUCCCCAUUGGUAUCACGAUUUCAUUGGAGAAUCCCCAAAAUUUCUACAAAAUCAUCAUUUUUGUUCUCAAUCAUCAAAAUUCUCUCCUAACAAGUAUAAAUAGAAAGCAACUACUAAUUAAAAUCCUACGCUACAGGAAAAAACACUUGGGGUCCAUGCUCAAAACAUUUAAUUAUUUACAAAUUUUUUGGUUCCAUCUCCAUAUGCGACAAUUUAAAAAUGUAAUUUGGAGCGGUCGAUCACACCACUAAAAUGAUGUUUCAUCGGUGUUCUCGACACUUGGAUACACCUCUUUUUCAAUGUGUGACCGAGGCCUCCCAAGAAUCGUAAUGUAGUCUUUAUCCUUGUUUGCUUCCAGCUUCUUCUAUGUGGCACACGUACACCUGAAAACCUACACCAUUCCAUAAAAGUUGCAAACUUGUUAACACAAUAAGGCUUUGUCUCAACUACCUAACACUCAUACCUUUGUGAUGGCAACACCUCUUUAGACUUAGGCUCGGGCUUAACACAUUUAAAAAUUCAGUCUCUCUCUCGAUGUCCGUAGUCAACUCACGCCUUCCCACAUCUAUAGUGGCUCUAAACGUGGGUAAGAAAAGUCUCCCUAAAAGGAUAAGAAUUUUGAGAUCCUCCUCAAAGUCCAACACGAUAAAGUUAACAAGAAAAGUAAAUUUCCUAACCCUCACUAACACAACCUCAAGGACUUCCUUGGGGUGUACCAAAGACUAUUCGACUAAUUGCAAGGUGACUGUCAUUUCCUUAAGCUCUCUAAAACCUAGCCUCCUAUAGAUGAACAGUGGCAUGAGAUUAAUGCUUGCCCCUAAGUCACAUAGGGUUUUCCCAAAACUUACUCCGCCUACCUCUAUUGUAAUGGUGAAGUUACCAAGAUCCUUAAGCUUAUGAGGGACUUUUCUAGACACUAUCGCACUGCAUUCCUCAUUAAGAGUGGUUUGCUCUCCUUUUCCUAUUUUCUUCCUACAAGACAUAACACCCCUCAGGAAUAUGGCGUAUUUGGCCAUUUUCUUAUGGAGCUCUAAUAAGGGGAGUUUUGCAUUCAAUUCCUUAAACAUAUUGAGGAAUUUCAAGAACUCCUCACUCUCUUUCUUCUUUUUCCCCUCUAAACGCUAAGGACAUGAUAUAGGCUUUGGGCUUGGUAAUAGUGGUGGAACGGUUCUAUCCUUUGGUUCGAUUUGUGUGGGUUCACCCUCAGGUCCUUCUUUCUCUCCCACCUCAUCUCCAACACUAGAAGUACAAGGGCUCUCAUCCUUCUCACUAACUUUUUUCUCCCAAAAAUUUGAUCAGAUAUGUUUUUUAACCACAUCCCUUGAUCUAAGGGUGAUCACCUUGGCGAGUUCCUUCCCUUCCCUCUUUAGAUUAGGUUCGGUAUUACUAGGUAUGCUAGAAGCUAAGUUCUUUUGUAACAAUUGCAUAACUUGGUCUAAUUGACCACGAAUUUAGCGCACAUCGACUUGCACUACAUGAAAGCCUUCUGUUUGGAAAUGUGCCCAUAUUGUAGUAAACAUGUAAAAGUUUUCUAUUUGUUUGAACGAUGAAUAAAUAAAUAAAGUUAAUUUCACAUUUCAUUAUUAUAUCUUUUGUAUUUAUGUCUUUUAUAUUUUACAUGCAUAGCGAAAUUGUGACAAGCAAAUAUUAGCUCAUUUAUUGUCUAAAGUUCAAACUGAAGAUAGGUGGCAUUGUAAUGAACAUUUACAUUGCGAGAAAGAUGACUUACUUUAGUAGAUAAUCUAAAUGAGUCCGUAAUCCCGUAAAAGAAUCAAAGUGGGCAUUUGAUUCAAAUACUAAGAAAGAUUAUUAUGUCUUCUACAAUUCCAAUUGAGGAGAUGGCUAGUCUUGGCUAUCGGAGUAGUUGACUCCACGAGUAGAGACAUAGAUUUAUUCAUUGGCAGAAUGAUACAUUGGACUAGACCCAAGAUGAAUUAAUUCUGAAUCUGUUUGUGAAUUAAUUCACUUGUGAUGUUCAUGGUGUCAAUUACCUAAAUCCCGAGUUAGUAACUGACCAUGCGUAUGCAACUCAUGUGCCUUGAUAUAAGUGAAGGCUUAUGCUCUAAAGAUGAUCGAGCCCAUAGCCGGUCAUAGCUAAAUUAAAGAUUUAAUUAUAUCCUCUCAUUAGCAUUGUGUGGAUUGAUAAAUAUAGAGCGUGACCACGAAUUGCUUAUUCUCGAACGAGCAAUUUAUCACAAUCAUUUGUUGGCAGUGAUCAUAUUAAUUAUUAAGAAGACACAAUGGUGACAAUGAGAUAAAAUAGGAUUGUAUUGAGUGAACGUAUUUAACUCAAAGGAAUAAAGGAUAUCAUAUAAGGGUAACACACACAUGACGAGGUCAUUGGACAAAGUAGCUGGAUAAAUUGCUUUCAUAAAGAGUAUACAAUAAAGAGUUUUAAAUUAUGAUACUUCUUGUGGACUGACUCUAUGAUUAAGUAAUUGUGAAUUAUUGGAACGAUGCUUCUGGACAUAAUUGCAAUCACUAGAGCUUAAUUGUAUAUGUUUGAUUGGUCCUUCUGCUAGCUCAACAAAAGCUCAAUCGGACUGCAUUUGAAGCAGAAGAAAAUUUUACAACUUUGGGAAUAAUUUAAUUGGGUCAAUUUAUUCGAUGUGGAAUUAAAUUAGGUGGUCGUAAGAAUUGUUCAACUAGAAAUUUUAAUUAAAGAAUUUUCUUGAAAAAUUAAUUUAGAAAGUCUAAGUUAUUUUUCGAAAAAUUAAUUUUGAUCAAGAAAAAUUAAAUUAAUCAAAUCAAUAAAAAUUAAUAUGAUAUUUUUUUAAGUUAAUUUUCAAGCCAGACAAUUGGCCCAUUGGGUAAUUGAACUUGAAAAUUGGAACUGAGAUUGUAAAUUGGGCUCGGGAUCCCAAAACCAAGACCCAAAAAUUGGCCAAACCAGGCUGAUAGUCCAAUCAGUGGCUAGACUGGACCAGUUGAGUCGUCAUUGACCAGGACUGAACCGGCUCGGGGUGCCAUAAGGGUGUCGCACAUGUAUCACCGGACACGACAGUGCCAGUGGCUGCGAUGACGGCUGGUCGUUCGUGGUUAGUAGUGGAAGAGUUACAUUCCCACUGGAAUUUCAAAAAUAAUAUUAUUUUAAUAUUUUAAUAUUAAAUUAAAUUUAAUACUUAUCUAAAUAGUAUUUUAUUAAUUUAAUAUUAAAUUGAUUAUCUUAAUAUUAAAUUAAAUUUAAUGUUUAUCUUUUAGAUAAACAUUCUAUUAUUUUAAUAAGAUUUAAUAUUAAGUUUAAUCUAAUAUUUAUCUUGAUUAAUGUUAUAUUAAUUUAAUAUUAAAGUGAUUAAGUUUAAUUAUAGUUGAACUCUCUAAACUCUCCCUAUAUAAAGUGAGCCUUGAGUCAUUAUUUACACACAUUUGAAUUCAAGAGAAAGUUGUAGAGAGAAAAUUCGCUGAAGAGAUUAUUCCAGAAAAUUUCUAGAUAUAUUUUUCUGAUUUACAACUUAACUGAAAAGUUUAGAGAAAUUGCAAAAUUACCCCACUGGUAAUUUUUGUGAAAAUUUUUCUGAAUCAAAGCGAGCCUACACUCGGAAGACGUGAGCUUGAGGAUAGUGAAGAAGACUACUCGGUCAAAGCGUUCAUCAUAGACGAAUCGAAAAUGUACAAUUUUGAUUAAGUGUUUAUUACUUUAGAUAUCACAAUCAAGAUCUUAUUUUGGAAAAAAAAAUUAAAACUUUGGUUUUUCCCUAAAUAUAAUUUUCCUUGCAUUUUCCAAACAUGUUUUUUCCAACACCUUCCUCUACCUUGUUUACCCUAAUCGAGAAUGGAAGGUCACUACGAUAGGGAGGCUUUCUCCCUUUAUCUUGGGGUGCCUUGAAAGGUAAUGGAGGUUGAUACAAUGCAUUUGGUUUUGAAGGAUUAACGUUUUGGUUCCCUUGAUUGGUAGGUCCCCUUUGGUUCCCUCCCCACCUAUGGUUAGGAUGGACACGUCAUCCCGGAUUGUAGGUGUUGGAGUAGGGGUUAUAUCCUCUAUUCCCUACAUAGUUAACCUCAACGUGGUUGCCUUCAUCAUUGUGUCUUGAAUGGAAAUAGGUUAGAUUUACUUGCGCCUUGGCUGAAUUCAUCUCCAAUUGAUUAAGCCUUUCGAGGACUUGUUGAUACUUGUCAUCGCUACCAACAACAUUCACUGCUGAUUGUUUGGCUUGAUAUGUGAACCACUUAGCUGACUAUAUGUAAGAAUACAUCACUAUGUCCUCGAUAAGUUGGCAAGCCUCGACGUAGAUAUUUGACAUGAAUACUCUUGUGGAUGCUCCAUCAAGCCUAGAGCGUAAGUUUCUAUCAAGCCCAUUGUAGAAGACUUGAAGUUGCAGCCAAUCUUGUAAACCAUAAGAUGGAAACUUGUGGAGCAUUAGCUUAAAGCGCUCUUAUGCCUCAUAUAGUGGUUCUCCAUCCAAUUUUUGAAAAUUUGUAAUAUCUAUACAAAGUUUCAUGGUCUUGCUCGGGGAAAGUAUUUUGCUAAAAAUUUGCUUACUAGCUCGUCCCAUGUGUAGAUGGAAUCUAUUGGCUAAGAAUGUAACCACAUAAAAGCCUCAUCAGUAAGGGCGAAAGGAAUAACCAAAGACGGAUAGCGUCAUCGAAUGCCUCAUUAUAUUUAAAGGUAUCACAAAUGGAUAAAAAUCUUUUUAAAUGUUGGUUUGGAUCCUCAUUCAUUGACCCUCGAAAUUAAAGGUUCGAUUGUAUCAUCUGGAUCAUGGUCGAUUUGAUUCCGAAGUUGUUAGCAUUAAUUGCCCAGCGAUUAAUGCUACCUAGAAAAACAUCAAAGUUGGGCAUCGCAUAGUCACGCAAAGUUUGUUGCUCCAUGGGUAGUGUGGUGGUUGUUGAAUCUCUACUUGUAGAUCUUCGAUAGGUUGCUCCCUUUGUAGAGGCGGGACGUCUCUCAGAUGCUGCGCCCUCCUCGCAUGUGUGAUGAUACAUUCCGAUUCCAGUUUGAAUGGUAAGACAUCGUUAUUGGUUUGAGUCAUACAAAGCAUCCUACAAGCACAAAAUAGUGAAGAAAAUUAACCAAAACUUGCUUCAAAAUAAAAACAGAAAGAAAGCAAAGACAUCUAUAAAUCCUACUUUUGCUACUUAUCUUUACUUAACAUGCACACUAAAAAUUACUCAAUCUUACAUUGUCUCCUCGGCAAGACCGCCAACAACUUUGAAUGUGUUCACACGCGCGCAUAAAACAAACGAUUUUAUAAAAAAAAUUUAUAAGCGCGGCUUUGUUGCAAGCGUACAAGUCAGUUGUAAUAUUUAUAGUGUUACAAUGGAACAGUAGAGUAUUUCGAGGAUUGAACCCAGAGGAGAUGGCGAUUGAGUGAGAAAUAGUAUGUGCGAUAGAAUCUAAGUGGCUACUGAUAUAAUUUUAUAAUACGGAAAAUCAUGAAAAGAAAAUAUUGCAAGAAAAUUGAGUAUGCUAAUCUUAGGAAUAAAUUGCAAAGAAUAUAAAACUAAGAAUUUAACCAAAUGAAUGACGAAUGGUGGUUGUUUAAUUUCAAUGUGGUUCACCAAUUCCGGACAAGGGAUUUAAAUCGAUCAAAUUACUAAGUGGCUCCAUUUUAUCUUCCGAUCACAUCGGUUAAUCUGGGACUAAUGAGCGAGUGCACAAAAAGAUUAUCAUCCAGUCUCACUUGGCUAGAUAUUUCCUUAAAAGUGUCACUUCAUAAAUUUUUAGAUCUAUUCGAUUUAGUCCAAUAUAUUACAAUCUUAUCCUUUGUCCAAAAAUAUCAGCUUACCGAUAUCUCUAUCAACCAACCGCCUUUUUGGUUUAGCUACUAAUGCUGAAAGUUAUAAGAAUGAACAUGGAAAUGAAAAAUAAAACAUCCAUUAAAGUAAAGCUUAAGAAAAAUGUAAAAGUUGAGAUUUUUAUGCAAGACAACUUAAAUAACAUGGAAUGAAAAGCAUUCAAUAAGAAAAUCUAAGCAAUAAACAUGAAAGGCACUAACUUUAACAGGUUUAAAGUAAAAAAAAAACUUAAAUAUAUUAAACUAAAGCUAAAACUAUCUUAAACCCAAGGUACAAGGACUAAAAGUGUAAAUAAACCUAAGCUACAGUGAUAACUAACUUAACUAACACUAAGAACAUUAAGAAGAAGAAGUAAAUGUAGAAAAAUAAAUUCUAAACUAAGGAAGAAGAAGAGAAAAUGAAAAACCUUGGAAAAAGUGUAGAAAACUAAACCUAAAGCAAAGCUAAUGUGUGUCUUUUCCUCUUCAGCCAAUUUUGGCUAUUUUAGGUUGUUUUCUCAUGAGUUUUCAUUGGCAAAAAUGCCCCUACACGGGCCUUGGGUGAUUGGUAGACCAGGUGGACAAAGACUACCCUCUUUGUCCAAGUUUGUCCCCUUGAUGAUGUCGAUGUCGUGAUACCUAAAAAAGGAUAUCACGGCAUCUCAACCAAUGUCAAGCCUUGAGGUCUUUUUUGAAAGGUGGAUAUCGCGAUACCCAAAGAGGAUAUCGCGAUACCAUUGAAGGGUGUCUCCAUUCUUCAAUAUUGUUGGAGGUAUCGUGAUUCCAAGGUGUGGAUAUUGUGAUACCUUUUUCCUUGGUGCCAUUCUCGCUCGUUUUCCACCUCCAAAAUGUCUCAAUCAUAGUGGGCUUAGCAUAGUCAUACAUAAUCCGAGGAGCAUGAUGUAUAGGAACUUGCUGAUUAUCAGGAUUAUUAUCAUCUCCACGGUAAUGUCCAUUUUCUCUUGAUUGUCCAUUAAAAUUUGUUGACUUUGUCUUGCUUCUCUAACCUCUCCCUGAUUUCUACAAGUAGUUUUUUUGAUCUCACUAUAAAAAAGUAAUGGUUCCAACAAAAUGCCUCUAGUCAUAAACCAAAAGAACUUGUAAGGAUAAAAAAGAAAAAGAAAAAGAAAAAUUAGAAUGUAACAAUUAAAUUAAAAAUAGAAAUAUUAAAAUAAAAAUAAAAAAUGGCUAAAUUAUUAGAAAUAAAAUUUUCCUAAUAUUCUAGUCCCCUACAACGGUGCCAAAAAUUUGAUGUGUUACGAAACUAACUAAAAAUCUAAGUAAGGCAAGUGCACCUAUCAAUUAAUAGUAUAGCUAUGGUGAGCAAAGAUAUCGUUCCCACGAAGACUAAAAGUACUAGUAAUUAUCAUCUUUCUAUUAUUUAAUCAAACAAUUCGAGUGGUUGAUUAAAAACUAAAAUUAACUAAAUUAAUUAACUAACGAAUACGAAAAAAGAAUAAAACACAAAAAUAAUCGAGUAAAAACCAAGAUGUGAAACAAUACCCAGGAAAGACUCUACCUAAAUUUCCUCUGUCACUACCAAUCCAGAGUAUGCAAUUUCUUUACUUAACACCUUGAUCCAUAAAAAUCCCUAAAUUAUGCUAAUAUUUCUUUUGAGCAUAAUAGCAACUUAUUCUAGGUUGAUUAAUUGAAAUUUCUUUCUAAUUAAAACCCCUAUUAUCACAUUAACUUGCGCUAUGGAUUCCCCUAUUAGAUUUGACUCUAAUCCAGUAGAUUUAUGUCGUCUUAUUUCUUGGAAUGCAUGCAACUCCAGUCAAUUAUGCAAUAUCUAUUUUUUAAACAGGGUUUAUUCAACCACCGAUUUAAGCACAUCGAACAUGGAUCAAUAACUUAAAAAUAUUAAACCAAUAAUUAAGCACACAUAAUUGAGAACAAGAAUCUAAAUAUUUAUUGUGUAAAAUAAAAAUCAAACAACAUGAUCCAUCUCCUCUAGGUAUUUAGAAAAUUAGUUCUGUAAAGCCCAAUUUUAGCCCGGGCCCGCACCAAACAACAGACCCAAACAUAAAUAAAAAUUAAUAGUUCAGUCCAUUACAAGAAAGCCCAAUAUGACCCAAACCCAACAACCCCAAACCAAGCCCAAUACCCUACACCCUAGCCCAAAUAAAAAACAAACAAAAAUUUUUCAAAACCUAGGUGCGCCGCACCUAGGGUCUUCUGACCCCUGCCAAGCCGCUGCCACCGCGCGUCUACCGUCGCCGCUGUCACGUUGGCCACUUGCGCCACCACUUGCAAAGAAGAAGACAAGCAACCAAUAGAAAAUAAAAAUUUUUGUAACAAAUCGGCUAUAAAAAGCCGAAGGCAGUCUCUGUAAAGAGGGGGCUUUUUUUCGAAUAUUGGAGAAAUAAAAAACAACAAUCAAUUUUUAAAGGUGAUUUUUUUAUUUUUUUAACUCUUGUUUCAUCAUUUUUUUUAUUUUAGAAGUAACAAAAAAGGAAGAGUUUUUUUUCACCUCUAUUCGUCGUCACCGGAGGGGUACGAGGGGCUGAGAAGUCGCGCCGGAAAAAAUGGGAAACUUUUCAGUUUCCCGUCCGCCAUAGACGGCGGCAUCGGCGACCGGUAGCCGGCGUGGCGGCCGAUUGUCGGAGCCCUGACCAGAAAUUGGGCUGAGAAGAGAGGGAAGGACUGCAUUUUCAGAAAAAAUUUUUUGAAGGGAAAGACAAAGUGAUUUUUUUGAAAAAAUUUUAACUUAUAUAGGCCUAUUUAACGACUUCCUUUUGGGUUUAAGCAUCAAUAGCCAAAACAACGCCGUUUUUCAUAAGACCCGAAAUCGACCCGACCCAAUAGCUAGGAUCCGCGCGUUUUCAUUAAAGGGGUUAUUUACAACCCUGGUCCUUCCGCUUUUUAAUGGUUUUUCAAUCAAGUAUUUCAGUUUUUUUAAUUUUUACCCCAUGAUUUUUUUUGCGCUUUCAAUUUAGUCCCUAUUUGAACGACGUCGUUUUGGAAGGGGAGGGAAAUUUUCUCUUCUAGUCCCUCCUUGUUAUUCGCGUGUUCAAAAUGGUCCAUCUCUUCUAUUUUAUUCCUGAUUUUGCCCAAAUCUUUGUUUUAAAAUUCAAAUUAGUCCUUUUUUGUUAUUUUUGUUACCUUAUUAAUUACAAUUAUAUUAUUGUGUUAUAUUAUUAUUAUUAUUAUUAUUAUUAUUAUUAUUAUAAUAUUUCUGUUUAUAUUUUACUUAUCUAAUUUUUAAAUAUUUUUUUCUUGUUAUAUAUUAUUAUGUAAUUAUUUAUAUCUUUUGUGUUUUUUUAAAUCUUAGAUUAUUCGCUAUUCUGUUAUUAAUAUUAUUAUAAAUUAUUAUUAUUUACUCAUUUAAGUCUUUUAAUUUCAAACUUUGUUAUAUAUAUACAUAUAUACAUGCAAAUUUUUUUAUAUUUUUAUAAUUCUUACAUAUAUAUAUACGAACGUACAUUUUUUAUAUUUUAUAAUUUUUAUUUAUUUUCUUUAUUAUUAUUGUUUUACUCAAUGUUUAUUUAUUUAUAUGUCCAAUAUCAUUUAAAAAAAAACAUUUUAGUUCUAUUUGUCUAUUUACUUGUUAUUUUAUACGUAAUUGAUUUGUCCUUUUUUAUUUUAUUUUAUUUAUCAUUUUUGUUGUGGUUGCUCGUGUUAUUUAUGCUUACAUCAUCGUAUUCAUUUGUCUUGUUACGCAUAUUAACGUUGUGUUUUAUUUCUACCAUUUCGUGUUAGAUUAAUUUUAUUUGAUGCAUAAAUCAUGACUCUAGAAUAAGUAAAACCACGUAUUUUGAGAUUCGAAAGGGUCGUGUCCUAACUUAUGAGGUUUUGAUUUUUCUCGAUUAAUCCAAAUACACGAACCUUUUUAAACAUAAAUUUUUUGAUAAUCUCGGGAAUUAAUAAAAGAUCGUGUUCUAACUUACGGAAUAUGGUCUUUUCUAAAAUCGAGAUAAUCGAAUAUCUUUCAAAUAAGUAAAUUUUUUGGCAUUCUUUCUCGUAUCAGGAAUUUUAGACAUUGUGUCCUAACUUACGGGACGUAAUUCUCCUCGAUUACCGUGAAAUAUGCCCUUUUUCCUCAAAAAUUUUUAGCGUUUUAAUAAAGGAUCGUAUUUUGAAUCUCUUCAAAGUUUCCAAUUCUCGACACUAAGACACUAAUUAAUCAACUAGGUACCAAUUUUUGGGCAUUACGAGGGUGCUAAUCCUUCCUCGUGUCUAACCGACUCCCGAACCCGUCUUUCUGAAUUUCGUAAACCAAAAAAAGCGUUGUUUUAAUAAGUCAAACCGAUUGUUAAAAAUAACCAUUUUCUGAGGUAACCCGAUCACACCUCAUCAAAAAAGGAUUGGUGGCGACUCCCAUGUUCGUUUUCAUUUUCAAAAUUAAAGUUGACCCCGUUUUACAAAAAAAAAAGGUUUCGACAAGUUCAUACUUGAAAAUAAAAACAUCCAAGAGACAUUAUAACCAAAAGAAAUAAAGAGACUCAUGACAACUUCCUAAGAAAUCAACUGAGAAUCUUCAAUCUUGACAGAAAUAUGCUUCAGAGUCAACUUCAAUGGUGUUUUUCGAGCUGUUUUCUAAAAUAUUCUAUGACGGCUCUCUUCUAUCUUCUUAUUUUUGUCAUAUAUAUGUCUUAGAAUAUCCAAAAAAAACCUAAAAAUCUUGAUUUUUCACUGUUCAGUGCGUAAUCCCGUGAAUUCGACACAGCCUACCAAACACUCGUAUGGGUCACACGUCCUUGUGGUCUGGCAAUGUGGAAUGAUUCAGUCCGUGUGGCUCCUGUAGCUUGCUUCGACACUCUGAUUUUAGCUCGUUUUUCUCUCCUUUUGCUCCCAAGUUCUCUAAUAGGUAUUAAAACAUGAAUUUAAAGGAUUAGGAGUAUAAAAUUCACAAUUAACAUCGAAUAAUCACCCAAAAACACAUUAAGUAUGAGGUUAAAACAUAUUACUUUUAGCACUUAUCAAAUAACUUUAUUUAAAAAUAAAUAUUAAUUAUAAUCAUUACAAAACAAUCAAAUUCAAAAUUCGACACCCAAAACCCCAAAUUCAUAAUCCAAAACCCAAAAUCUAAAAUAAGAAACUCGUAACUUAAAAUCUCAAAAUAAAAACAAAAUAAUUUAAUAUUUAUUUAUGUUUAAUAAAAUUAAUAAUACUUAUUUUUAAAUCCUUCAAUAUUUUUUAUUUUACAUUAAUGAUGAUGCAUCACUUUAUUCUUAUUGAUGGUGCAUGAAACCUAUACACCCAUAGUUAGGGGUGAGCAAAAUUCGAUUCGACUCGAAAAAAUCGAAAAAAAAUUCGAAUUUCGAGUUAAACGAAUCGAGUUAUUCAAAUCAACUCGAAUUUUUUUUUUCAAAUUUCGAGUUCGAAUCAAGUUGAGUUUUCAAAUUCGAAUAACUCGAAUAAUUCGAAUAUCAAACUAUAAUAUUUUACAUUUUUACCCCAAACUCCCAAACCUUUUUAUUUUUCCCUCAAAACUUUUACUCCUUCCCACUUUCCCCCCAAAACUUUUACUCUCCUCUCCUUUCAACCCCCCAAUCUACCCAAAAUUCAUUUCCCACUAAAAUUUUACUCUCCCAUUUAACUUUUCUCAAAAUUUUACUCUCAAAAACCCUCUAAACCUUUUAUUAUUCCUCAAAAUUUUUACUCCCUCCCACUUUUUCCCUAAAACUUUUAUUCUCUUCCCAUCCCACCUCUCAUCUACCCCAAACCCUCCCCCCUCCAAUUUUUUUUUAAUAUUUUCCCUCCAAAAUUUUACUCCCUCUAUUUGCUUUCCCUCAAACUUUUAAUCCCCAAAACUUUUUAUUUUCCUUCUAAACUUUUACUUCUCACCCUUUACUCUCAAAUAAAAAAUUAAAAUUAUCCAAAAAAAAUCACUAAACAUAAAUAGUAAUAAUUUUAUUUAUAUAUACUAUUUAUAUUAUUAAAUUAAAUUUCACAUUUUAUAUUAUUUAUAUUAUUGAAUUGUUUAGUCAUAUUGAAUAUUUAUAUUAAAAUUGAAUUAUUAAUUAUGCCAUAAAAUAUUUGUGUUAAAAUUUUAUAUUGGUAUCAAUUUCACAUUUUAUUUUUAAAAUAAAUUUUAUUAAAAAAAUCAUAUUUUUACAUUUAAUAUAUUUUUUAAUUCCAAAAUACAUAGUGACAAGAAUAUGAAGAUAAUUGAAACAACUAAGCAAGCAAAGAAGCUAACCAGUAUAUAAAAAAUUAAUAAAUAAAUUAUGAGGUGAUGAAAGUUAAUAAAAAAUUUGGUUAAGGUGGGCAAAUUUUAUUACGAUGGGUGAUAGUGGUUAUAAGGACCCAAAAUUAUUUUUAAAAAUUUAACUCGAACAAAUAUAUUCGAUUCGAAUUCCAUCUCACUCGACUCGAUUCGAGAAAACUUCAAAUAAAGUUAGGAUGAUAAAAUGAGAUUCGAAAACUCGAUUAACUCGAAAAUUUUCAAUUCGAUUCGAUUCGAUUCGAUCGAAUGAUCACCCCUACUCAUAGUAUAUAAAUAUUAAUCCAAUAUUUGUUGGAAUAUCAAAAAGCUAUACUAUAUAAUAUAGCCGCGUGGUCCAAAAAGUAAACCUUAUAACUACUCAAAUUAAUUAUAUAUUAAUAGAAAUGGAUGUUGACUCUGAUUUAUAAUUAUAUAUUACAGAGAUUUAAGUAUUUUUUUAUGCAUUGAUAAAAAAAAGUUUGAGUAUUAUUUAUAUGGAUUUAUUGAGUACUAAAAUUUCAAUGUUAAUUCUAUGUUCCUUUUCAACAUUCGUGGUGGUAGACAUACUAUUUUUAUUUAUUCUGCUAGUGAAUGCCUCCUUAUAUUUAGAUAUUAGUAUUUGAUGUAUAAUUGAUUUAUAGGUCUAAUGUUUUAUUAGUUAGUAACUAAGUGAUACAUUAUUAUUGAUGUAAAAAAAUAUUGAAGGACUUAAAAAUAAAUAUUAUAAUUUUCUAUAUUUCUCAAUUCGGCCUAGACAUUAUACCCGAAUUCAGAAGAUUACAUUAGCCACUGAAGUGACCCAGAAAGCUAAUGGAGUUCUGAAAACGGUUACUUUAAAACAUUUUUUCCAUUUUGUAGAAAACUUACUUAAAUUUCGAUUAAUUACGCUUCGAUGUUAUAAUUAAAGUAUAGCAACGGAAAAUGAUAAUUACUGAUGUUUUCAGUAAAAACUGGGGGUUCAUGCCUAACUACUUGAUAAAUAAAUAUCCUAAAACUUAAUUAAAUGUCAUGCAAUAUAAUAUAUAUAUAAACCCUAAGUCCCAUGCCACUAUUCGAAAUGAAAUAAUACAGUUUCUGAAUAAUGAAAAAAAGUGUUGAAUAAUAAAUCUAAAAUAUUUUCAUAGAUCAAGCCGAGUACCUCCGGAUACCGUGCCCGUGUCCUAACCUGGUGGGUUAUCUGAAAAGAUGGAAAAUAAAAAGGGAGUAAGCUAUGCAGCUCAAUGUGAGUUCCAUCACAAGAAAAUCAAUGCAACCUAUAGCAUAUAGAAUCUCAACACAUAUCAUAAUUCACAUUAGCAAAUUCAGUAUAUCGGAAUAACAGAACAGUUUAACAAUGCAUAAACAACUAAACAUAUAUCAUAUUAUAAUGGAGACUUCAAAAUUUCAAGCACAUGCUUUACGGAUGCAUACAGAUUCAUUUAACAGGUAAGAUCCUACCCCGCUGCUACACACCAUAAGAGUUCCCCAGAACUUUCCCAUCCCUACACACCAGGUUGUGGGUAAACCACAAAAAUUGCAGGUUAAUACACUGUUAGAUGGUUGUGAAUACACUAACAUAAUUACAGAUUAAAGCUGCCAGAUAAUGGAUGGGCGAACCACCAGUGUUGCAGGUUAAUACGCUACCAGAUGGUUUUGAAUACACAACAUAAUUGCAGACAAUAGCUGCCAGAUAAUAUGUGGAUGAACCACCAGAAUUGCAGAUUAAGAAUCUGCCAGAACUUCCUUCUUUCAAAGCGUCUCAUCCCAUGUAAUAAAAAUAUGGCAUGCUUAUAACAUAUUAGAACGUAAAUGGAUAACAUAUUUGUAACAAAUCAAAUACAACAACAAUAAUUAUGCUUUCAACUAAUUGAUACAGUAGCCAAAACAUGCUACUGUAAAAGAUUACUGACCGUGUGAUCGGACCGUGUAAAGGGGGUACAUCAAUUAAUAACGGGUUUCAAGAAAAAUCAAGAUUACCGAGAUUUUCAGCAAGAUUUGUAAAAGAUCCAUUAAUUUGGAUGAUCGAUUAAUACUAAAUGUAAAUACUAUGAGAAUUUGGGGUUAUUUAUCAGAUUUGAAUUGAACUUAUCAUUUCUUGGCGAGAUUAGGGAUGAAAUUAACAGCGGUUCAAUUCUAGCAAGAAAAUGAGUUAAUAUCAGGGAUGAACUUUGAUUCGGAUUUGCAAAGAAAAAAAAGAUAAUCUCAGUAAUAGAAGAAAAAUAUUUGCAAAGAUGAGAAUGGGAAAGAAAGAGAAGAGAAAUAGGGAAAUUAGAAGCAAACUUCUAUUUGGAUUUGUAAAAGAAAGCAAAAGUUCUAAUGUAAGUAAGAAAAAAGGAGAAUAAAUGCAUAACCAUGUGGGUUGUUGCCCAUGGUUUGUUUUUACCACAUUUAAUAUAUAUUCUAGUAUGAUUUUAUUCAUUGGUUACUAAAAAAAUAAAAAAAAAAUUGGAAAGAAUGUGACUUAAACCCAAAACCUUUCAAAAGUGUACCAAGCACUUAGCCAUCAAAACCAAGUCAUUUAACCUUAUAUAUUUUGAGGUGUUACAAAUUUUAUUAAACAUGAUUAAAUAUUAAUUAUAAUUAUUUUGUUUUUCUUUCAAGUUUUAAGUUUAGAUUUUAGGUUUUGGUUUUUGGAUUACAAAUUUGGGGUUUUGGGUUUUACUUUUCAAAUUUGUUGUUUUUGUAUUUAUUUAUGUUUAAUGAUUAUAAUUAAUAUUUGUUUUUAAAUAGAGCUAUUUAUAUUUAUUUUUAGACCCUUCAAUUUUGUUUUUUGUUUUACAUAGUGAUGAUGAAUCAUUUUAUUAUUAAUUGAUGGUACUUGAAACCUAUACAUAAGUGAAAAAUAUUUUUUUUACUAAAAAUCCAAACUGGGCAUAUUAUUCCAAAGCUAAAUAAGUUCAUAACAAAACAUAGAAAAAUUCAAAUAUCCUCUUUUUUAACCUUUCUAAUUUUUCAGUAAGCGUAUUAGGGGAAGACUCCCAAGAACUUUUAAUUUCCUCUUCAAAAGAUUCUUCCAUUGUCCACCAGGCAUCAAACCUAAACCUUAAGACCCCUAUAAAACUCCUUUCAUUGUCUGCAGUCAAAAGAAGGGGGAAAUAAUUCGAGAACGAAUGUGGCAAGUGUCAGAUUCUGCCAUUUGGGAAAAGGUUCAGCCAUUUUUCAUUUGCAACUCCCCUGUCUAAUCUCUCAUUUAUGUUUGUUUUUGGCAAGUUCCCUCUCUCCCUAGUAAAACAUACACUAGAAUAGCGCACGUCCACUAAUUAACAUUCUUCAAGAACUUCAUGAAACGCCUCCAUUCAUUUCUCCUCCCUCAAUAGUCCUCCAUUCUUUUCAAAAGAGUACAUAAUUUCAUUGAAGUCACCACCUACCAACCAAGGGUCAUCUUGAUCCUGACCUAGUCUCCUUAAUAAAUUCCAAGAAUCAUUCUUAUUGCUUACCAAAGGUGUUCCAUAAAACCUAGUAAAUCUCUAUUCCUCAGUGGCAUUAUCCUCCUUAAUCAAAGCAUCUAUGUGACUUUUAGAGAAACUCCUUAAACUAAUAGUAAUAUCCUCCUUCCACGCCAAACAUAGCCCUCUGCGUUAGCCCUCCACUCCUACCUCAAUUCCAUUCACAAAACUACAUCUUCUUCGUACCUUUUCCAUACGUUUGUUGAACUUUGGCCUGCAAUGCAACAUGAAACCAGCAGCUUGCUCCCAUCAAGUUUAGUAAUAGUAAUACAACUUGAAGUGCAGCAUUGGAGCAGAAUCGAAUGCAACAGUAGCCUUAUUGAUUUUGUUUCAAUGUAAUCUUGUUUAGUUGUGAUUUGUGUAAGUGAGUUAGUAGGAUUAGUCUUUGAUUAGUCCUUGAUGUAAUGGCUGAUAUGUCAGCUACUUUUGUGUAUAAUUUUAGCUAUCUAUUAGUCAUGUAUUAGUGGGGGCAGUUAAGCCAUUAGGUAACUGUCAAGUUAACAUUUUAUAACUCCAAUAUAUUUCAAAUUUUGAAUGAAAAAUACAUAGGUUCAUCAGUUACAUUUGAGUAUGCAAUUUUUUCUCUUGUUGUUUUUCUUUCUUCUUUGCUUCGAUUCCAUUGCUUCUGCUUUGCCAUUUUGAUGUUUGCUGCUGCCAUUGUUCUAACAAAUGCUAUCAUGAGCCCAAGUCUUGGAGGGACUCUAUUGUUGGUUGUGUUCUUGGCUAAAACAAAGUUUGGAUAAGUAAAAAUUGAAGCUGUUGGGCUUGUUUCAGCGAGAUGAGCUUCACACCACCUCCACCACAUGUGUUCACUGGAGAAAACUAUCACAUUUGGAUAGUUAAGAUGAAAACAUAUCUUUAGGCACACAAUUUGUGGAAUGUGAUUCAAAACGAUGCUGAACCACCUCCAUUGAGAGUCAAUCCCACCAUUGCUCAAAUGAGGCAACACAGUGAAGAGUGCUCUAAAAAGCAUAAAGCUAUGGCCUGCUUGCAGAAUGGGGUAUCAUAUGUGAUCUUCACUAGGAUAAUGGCCUGUGAUUCACCUAAACAGGCAUGGGAGAAGCUGAAUGAGGAGUUCAUUGGGUCAGACAAAAUGAGGCAGCAGCAAGUGAUCAAUCUCAUGAGAGAUUUUGAAAAUCUUAAGAUGAAAGAGUCUGAGACCAUCAAACAGUAAUCAGACAGAACAAUGGCCACUGUCAACAGCAUAAGGCUCCUUGGAGUUGACUUCAGUAAGAGCAGAGUUGUUGAAAAGGUCAUUACAACUCUCCCUGAAAAAUUUGAGUCAAAGAUUUCUUCACUUGAGGACUCGAGAGAUUUAUCAGCUAUCUCACUGUCUGAGUUGAUAAACUCUUUGUAUGCACUUGAGCAAAUGAGAGCAAAUAGACAGGAAGAACAUCCUGAAGGUGCUUUCCAGGAAAAAGCCAAUGAAGGCUCAAGUUUAAAUCUGAAAAGCUAGAAGCCUUGGCACAACAGAAGGGAGAAAUCAAGGAAAGAUGAAGGAAAAAAGGGUAUUUCCACCAUGCAUUCACUGCAAGAAGACAACACACUCAGAAAAAUAUUGUUGGUUUAGGCCAGAUAUUCAGUGCAAGAGUUGUAAAUAGUUUGGCUAUGUUGAGAAAGUGUGUAAAAACAAAAAGAAAGAACCUGUUCAGCAACAGGCUCGAGCUGCAAAAGAUCUUCAAGCUCAGGAGGAGCAUAUUUUCACAGCCUCCUGUUUUGUUAGCACAACAAAAGCCAGAAGUGAUUGGCUAGUAGAUAAUGGCUGCUCACACCACAUGGCAGCUGAUGAAAAGCUGUUUAAGAACCUUGACAGGACUUUUACCUCAAAGGAAAAAUUGGAGAUGGGAACCUGAUUGAGGCCAAACGCAAGGGCAAUAUGAUGGUAAGCACUGGUUUCGGUAACAAAGUGAUUACUGAUGUGCUUUUUGUGCCUGAUAUAGAUCAGAAUUUGCUUAGUGUGGGCCAGUUAGUGGAAAAAGGGUUACACUUUAGUUUUUUUUUAAAUGACUGUUGCAUUGUUCAAGACUCAUUUGGUCAGGAGCUGGUUACAAUAGCUAUGACUGAUAAGUGCUUCAUGCUGGAUGUGAGUCAAGUGGAGAGAAAGGCUUACACCAGUCUUGCUGAUAGCACUGGUCUUUGGCAUAGGAGAUUAGGCCAUGCUAAUUUUAGAUCUCUUGAUCUGUUGCAUAGGCUAAAUUUGGUUGAUGAUAUGUCUAAGGUUGAAGUUAGUGGCACUGCUUGUGAGGUUUGCCAGCUUGGUAAGCAGGCUAGAUUGCCUUUUCCUGCUGAUAGUGCAUGGAGAGCUAAGGAAAUGCUCGAAUUGGUGCAUUCUUAUGUUUGUGGUCCAAUGAGAACUCCUUCACUCAGUGACAACAAGUACUUUGUCUUGUUUAUAGAUGAUUUGACCAGGUUCUACUGGGUUUAUUUUUUGAGGCAGAAGUCAGAUGUGUUAGAGACAUUCUGCAAAUUUAAAGCCUUGGUUGAAAACCAAUUUGGUUGCAAAAUUAGAGCCUUGAGAACAGAUAAUGGCUCUGAGUAUGUGUCUGACAGAUUUCAGAAGUUAUGUGAACAAGCUGGGAUUCACCAUCAGCUAACCACUGUCUAUACUCCUUAACGGAAUGGAGUAUGUGAAAGGAAGAACAUAACUGUGCUUGAUAUGGCCAGAUGUUUGCUAUUCCAGAGUAAACUUCCAAGCAAAUUUUGGGCUGAGGCAGUCAACACCUCAGUGUAUCUGCUCAACAAGUUGCCAACUCGAGCAGUCAAAGACAAAACUCCUUUUGAGGCUUGGCAUAGAGUCAAACAGUGGUAACACACUUAAAAAUAUUUGGUUGUGCGUACUAUGCUCAUGUUCCAGUGGAAAAGAUAACCAAGCUAGAAAGCAGAGCUGUUCCAGGAAUCUUUGUUGGCUAUAGCAAUACCAAGAAGGGUAUAGAGUGUUUGAUCCAUCAACAAAGGAAGUUAUGAUCAGCAGAGAUGUUAGGUUUGAUGAAGAGAAGGUAUGGAGUUGGAAUGGUGUUGAAGCAGGUUUACUUGAGGAGGAUCAGUUGGACUUUGUUAUUGAACCUACAGAAGAGGGACCAAAUAAUGAAGCAGUUGAUGAUGCUCCUGUAAGAGGUACCAGAACCAUUGCUGACAUUUACCAAAGCUGCAAUGUUGCAGUAGUUGAGCCUACUGACUAUGAAGAAGCUCCCAGAGAUAAGAACUGGAAGAAGGCAAUGGAAGAAGAAUUGGAGAUGAUCAACAAAAAUCAGACUUGGGAAUUGGUGAACAGGCCUGAUCAUAAGAAAGUUAUUGGUGUUAAGUAGGUGUUUAGAGCUAAAUACAAUUUUGAUGGCUCAUUGAACAAGCACAAGGCAAGGCUUGUGGUGAAAGGCUAUAGUCAGCAGUAUGGAGUUGAUUUCAUGGAGACAUUUGCUCCAGUAGCAAGAUUGGACACAAUCAAGCUUCUGUUUGCUUUAGCUACUUAGAAACAAUGGAAGGUUCACCAAUUAGAUGUAAAAUUUGCUUUUCUGAAUGGUUUCCUUAAGGAGGAGAUUUUCAUCGAGCAACUAGAUGGAUUUAAAUUUGCUGGAUAGGAAGACAAAAUGUAUAGGCUGAGAAAGGCACUUUAUGGCCUGAAGCAGGUACCAAGGGCCUGGUAUGACAGGGUUGACACUUACCUGUCUAGGCUCGGGUUUGAGAAAAGUGUUAGUGAAGCUACACUUUAUGUGAAAAGAUCAGAAGGUGAAACAUUGUUGAUUGUUUCUCUCUAUGUGGAUGAUCUACUUAUGACUGAAAGCAAAAGUGAGCUCAUUGAUGAAUUUAAAGUUCAAAUGCAGAAAGUAUUUGAAAUGACUGACUUAGGGAUCAUGACUUACUUCCUUGGUAUGGAAGUGGAUCAGUUUGAUGGAGGCAUUUUUAUCAGCCAACAGGUAUUUGCCUUAAAGAUUCUUAAUAAAUUCUGCAUGAUGAAUUGCAAAACAGUAAGCACACCUGUGGCUCAAGGUGAGAAGCUGAUUAGUAAUGGAGACCAAGAAAGAGUUGAUGAAAAGCAAUAUCGAAGCCUGGUAGGUUGUCUGUUAUAUCUAAUAGCAACUAGACCAGAUAUUAUGUUUGGUGUCAGUUUAUUGUCAAGAUUUAUGCACUGCUGUGAUGUGGUUCACUUGAAAGCAGCAAAGAGAGUUCUUAGAUACAUUAAAGGAACUGCAAGUUAUGGUGUGAUGUUUAAAAAAGCAAAGGAGCUAAAACUUGAAGGAUAUUCAGACAGUGAUUGGGUUGGUUCUCUCGAUGACAUAAGGAGUACCUCUGGUUAUUUUUUCACACUUGGAUCAAGUGUCUUUUUCUGGAGUUCGAAGAAGCAACAGACUGUUGCUCAAUCCAUAGCUGAGGCAGAAUAUAUUGCUGUUGUUGCAACUGUCAAUCAAGCCAUAUGGCUUAGGAAGCUGCUUCAUGAUCUCAAUGAGGAUCAAGCUAAAGCAACUAAGAUUUGGGUGGACAAUCAAUCUGCAGUUGCCAUAGCUAAAAACCCUGUGUUUCAUGGCAAGACCAAGCACUUUAAGAUCAAACUCCAUUUUGUUCAAGAGGCUGAGCAAACAAAAGAAGUCAGCCUUGUUCAUUGUAGUUCAGAAGUUCAGUUGGCUGACUUAUUGACCAAGCCAUUGGGAGCAACCAGGUUUGAAGUUUUAAGAAUGGCAAUUGGUGUUUGUUGCAUACAGUCCAAGGAGGAGUGUUGAACUUUGGCCUGCAAUGCAACAUGAAACCAACAGCUUGCUCCCAUCAAGUUCAGUAACAGCAAUGCAACUUGAAGUGCAGCAUUGGAGCAGAACCAAAUGCAACAGUAGCCUUGUUGAUUUUGUUUCAAUGUAAUCUUGUUUAGUUGUGAUUGUAUAAGUGAGUUAGUAGAAUUAGUCUUUGAUUAGUCUUUGAUGUAAUGGCUGAUAUGUCAACUACUUUUGUGUAUAAUUUUAACUAUCUAUUAGUCAUGUAUUAGUGGGGGAAAGUUAAGCCAUUAGGUAACCGUCAAGUUAACAUUUUGUAACUCUAAUAUAUUUCAAAUUUUGAAUGAAAAAUACAUAGGUUCAUUAGUUACAUUUGAGUGUGCAAUUUUUUCUCUUGCUGUUUUUCUUUCUGCUUUGCUUCGAUUCCAUUACUUCUGUUUUGCCAUUUUGAUGUUUGUUGCUGCCAUUGUUCCAACAAUGUUUUUCAUUAAUUUUAGUCUCCAUAAAGAAAACCAUCUGAGGAUUAUAUAUCUUCAGCAAAUACCGAAUCCUACGUACAGCCCGUGGACUCCCUAAACCACGGACAUUCCAACAUAUAGUUUUCAUUAUGCUUGGUCAGCUUGCCUUUUGGCAGCCUCCGAUCUAUGUUGAAUGGGAGCAAAAAAUUACUCUGAGUUUUCCAUCAUCAAAUUUGAAUGAGCUACUGCAUGCAAAUCCAUACUCUCUAAUUUCGUCCUUUUAAACCCGUCUUUACAAGAAUUCGUAGUUCUUCUCUCAUAAAUUCCUAUUUUAGCUAAUUUCCUCUUGCCCACCACCCUUUCAUCCCUGCUUUCGUUCAUUAUUACUCCUGGUGCAAUUCUUUUCCAACUUGCCUCCUUGGUUAAUUUGGAUUUGCCUUCCAACAUACUGUCUGACCCAUUCAAUCCCUCCACUUUCUCCACAAUAGAUUAUUCCUUAUGCACAUUAGCUUCAUCAUGGCCAUCCAACAUCCAAUCCUCAUUUCUAGAUUUUGACAAUGCGAAAGUCCCUGAAUCCCUAGAUCAUAUAUUAAGUUAUUUAUUUCCAAUUUUUCCUUAAUCUUUUCCAUCUCCCCUUUUCCUCUUUGUUGUAAAUUGUCUUCCAAACCCUGAAUUAUAGCACCCUCACCCUCUAGCUUUUUAUUAGUCCUACUGAACAUCUCCAUAUUGCCUGUGUAGGAGCACUAUUGCAUCAUCUUUUUUUGUGGAGGAACUAAAUUUCAAACUUUCUCUCCCAAUUAAAUUUAAUUCAGCUUUAAGCACCAGUGAAUAUGGUAAAUCUUCUCCUAAUUUGUCGUUUUCUUCAAGUUUAACUCGAUGCACUCCCUAACCCUAUGCCCCAUUCGUCCACAUCCAAAGCAGAAGUUCACCAGAUUUUUAUAUUUAAAGAAGAUCCACGAUUUCCUUUGAUUACCUGUUGAGACGAAGAUUCCUCUACGUAAAGGUUUCUACAUGUCCAAUUGGACUCUAAGCUGAAAAAAGUCUCAUUUUAUUUUAGAUUUAAUUAUCCCUCUAAAAGUAACUCCAAUGGCGUGCAAGAAAUAUUUUUUGUCAAAUUCUGGCAAGCAUGGUCCAAUCUUGAGCCAAUACGAAGAGGAAGAAAGUCGGAUCUGACUCCUUUCCACCGGUGUAACCAAACGAUCAAAAAUAAUGAGUUGCUUUCGAAAAAGCCAUGGCCAACCCUCCAUAACCAUCUCUAGAUCCUCUUCAGUUUCAAACACAAUCAGAAACAAAUUUUGCCCAGCCACUUGGAUCUCAAAAUUUUUCCUAGUCUUCCAGAUAAUUUUCAUUUGUGCCCUAAAACUAUCUGGGUUAUAAGAUUUCUUUGUCCAUAUCAAGCAUAACAGAGUCAGAUUUUCACUUGGUACAACCAUCGAACUUUUAACCGUUAAUUGAACAAGCUCUUCCUCCAGAAGAGAGAUCUCAUCCUUUUCCAAUCUCUUCACGCCACUACUUUCCUCCAUCCCAACCACAGUAAUUACUGCUUUCUCUAGGACACUAAGAAAAGAACUCUUGGCCUAGGCUUAGGUCAUUCUUAGAUCAAUGAAUAAUAUUAAUCCUAAUUAAUUUACAAGAAGUUGAUGGAAUAGUUGUAACAAACCUAAUGAUCUAUUUUUUUUAACAGAAAAAAGUCCACUGAUCAUUAAUAGUAAUAAACCACCCUCUGACUCAGUAAUUACUACCCUCUCAUCCCUAUUGGCCAAUAAGGCUGGUGCAGCCUAAUCGAAGAAAAACAAAAACCACACAAAAAUUAAAAUGAUAAGUCAUUUGAAAAAAAACCAAAACAAAAUAAAACCUAACAAUAAAACAGAGGGCAGUUGAAACAAUUUCCAUUUCUUUCCCAAAAAUCCGAUUCAACCAGUGGGUAAUUCGGCAAUCCAAUCUUGCAAUCUUCCUUUUUUUAUGAGUAGCUGAUAGUCCUGAUUGCUUGUUUCCUUGCCGAUCCAUAACUCAUCAGGAUUUUUAAACUCAUUUUCCCCGAUUUCAUUCCGCAUUUUUCUCAUUUCCAUCCAUCAGCCUUCGUCGUCUAUCCUCCGCAACCACCUCUUCCACUCUCGCCGGAGCCUCUUCGACCCAGUACCUGGCCGUCUCAGACUUUAUUAAUAAUGUUUAAAUGAAUACUUAUGGUCCCUUAAGCUAAAACUUGUACACCUUAAUUAAUUUAUUGGUAAAUUAGCAUUGUGAAUUAGGUGCAAAAUGAGCUCAUAUUAAAAGAUUUAAUUUGAUAGUUUUUAAUAAUUAAUGUAGGCAUUAAAGGUUAAUUUGAUAAUUUAUUCACCUAUUGAAACAAAUUUUGUAAUUGAUUACUUAACUUGUAAAUAAUUUAUAUAUAAUUUAAAAUCAACUCUAGUCAAUCGGGUUGCUCGUCUUCACACAAUCGCUUCCAAUGAUGUAGAACAUUUUGUUACAAGAUUAAUGGUUUUGGUUUUUUGGUUAAGGCUUAAACUCUGCUUCCUCUUUUGUAACAAAAAUAAAUAAAUAGAGUGGUGUUUCUCUCUUUAUUUAUUUAUAUAUGUAUUUACUUUUUUUAUUAUUAAUCUAUAUCUAUCUAAAUUAUAUUAACAUAUAAUAUAUAAUUUAUAGUAAGGUGUUGAUGCAUUUAAGGUAUGAUUAAUUCUUGAUGAGGUUUUUUUUUUUUUUUACAUAUAAACAACUUUAAAUAUAUAAUGUAUUUAGAGCAUGUUUGGUUCGCUGUAUUGGUUGGUUAAAUAGAGGUGUAAUAGCAAAUCAAUUGUUUGGUUGAAUGGAAUAGAGGUGUAAUAGCAUAAUGGAAAAAACUAAAAUGACUAGAAUACCCUUAGUAUAAAUUUGUUUUGGUAAAUGAUUAUUGUUAUUGUUAUUUAAAUUUUAAUAAGAUUAUUAAUAUCAAUAAUAAAUAAUUUAAUCAUAUUUAAACAUAAUUAUUAUUAAAUAUAUUAUAAUUAAAAUAUAUAAUUUAAUAAAAUUCUUAAUAAUCAAUAUUCUUAUAUGAAUUUACUCAAAUCAUAAUAUAUAAUACUAUAAAAUAUAAAUUAACAUAAUUAUUAUUAAAUAUAUUAUAAUUAAAAUAUAUAAUUUAAUAAAAUUCUUAAUAAUUAAUAUUCUUAUAUGAAUUUACUCAAAUCAUAAUAUAUGAUACUAUAAAAAGAUAAUUUGAAAUAAUUAAUAUUAAAUAUAUUUUAAUUAAAAUAUAUGAUUUAAUAAAAUUUAAAAUAAUUAUAACUAAUAAAUUAUCUUAUAUGAAUUUGUAUAAUUUAAAAUAAUUAUUAUUACAUAUAAUUUAAUAAUAAUAUAUAAUUUCAUAAAAUUCUUGAUAAUAAAUUUUCUUAUAUGAAUUUAUACAAUUUAAAAUAAUUAAUAUUAAAUAUAAUUUAAUAAUGAUAUAUAAUUUCAUAAAAUUCUUAAUAAUAAAAUGUUCUUAUAUGAAUUUACUAAAAUCAAAAUAUAACUUGAGAAUUAUAUUCUGCAUAAACAUAAUUAACUUAUAUUAAGAAAAGGUUAGAUGAAAAUGAAAUUCUACAUCAUAAUCCAUAUGUUAUAUAGUUUUACAACAUCAAAAAGUUUGAACAUUGAUUUUUAAUGGUGAGAAAGAAAUCUUCUGACUCAUUCCAAUCACGCAACAGAAGGUAAACUAAAGAAAACGAUCAUUUGAGUUGGAUGAUCUGGAAUUUUACUCAAAGCUUCAUACCGCUGAUCGUCGGUUAAACAUUCAAUUUCCCAUAAGGUUGAAUAUAAAUUUGAAGCUUUCUCUUCCAUCUUUUGAUAUUCUUCUGACUUCUGCUGAACUACCACCUCGGAGGCAAUACUCCUACUGAUUUGAUCGCCAACGGCCUUGAUGUUUUCGGCCAAUAAAGUGGCAGCCUCAUCAAAUGAAGAAUACAUAUUAUCACGAGCAUCAGAUUUCUUCUUUCUCUUGUUUGAAGAUGAGGAACCCCCUUGGUCUCUAUCUCCUCGCGGCUCCGUACCAAAAACAUCCAUGUCGUCCAAAGAGACGUCAGCUUCGCAGUCAUAGAAUGUGUUUCUCUCUUCAUUCAUAUCUAUAGUAGGUACAUCCUCAGCAUUUAUUUCUUGAAGAACAUCAGCAGCUGUUUGAGCAUCUUUCCCAGUCGCUCGAUCUCUUGUGUAUAUGGCAGUAAGCUGGUCGUAGUAAGGGAAAGUACGAUGUCUGAAUUGAGCGGCUUCUUUGUGACUCUAAAAAAAAUGAGGAAAUCAUAUUAGUUAUAAGUUUGGUAAAAAAAACAAAUAAAGACUUGAAAUACAUUUUACCUUUAAAUAGGAGUCCCAAACUGCAUCUUCAGCAACAACGAGCUGCCUAUGCUCGUCCCAACCAAAACCGCUAUUGUUUUGGCCAUUAAGCAUGUCAUAGACGAUUGACCAUUCUCUUUUUAGUAACCUAAUCCUCGAUUCAAUAUUUGGUUUCGCCUUCAACAUUGCAUUUGGUAAAGCCUUUUCUAGCAUUUUUUCCAACUCGUUCAAAUAACCGGCUUUGAACCCGGUAUCAGC